AAAUCCAAAAAAUACAUAGAAGAGACAAGGUUCUUAUUGUAAUCAGAAAGUCUAUUCAUAUAUCUUAACGACCUCAUGUACAUAAUAUCACAAUUCUGAAACAAGAUCAUUUUCAUUAAGAAGCUCUAUAGUACUAUCAAAUCACACACACACACACACACACACACGUACACCUGGACUCAGCGCCGCCCUCUGCGCACUAUAGGUAGGUCCUCAUGGGUCACCGAGCGCCGGAUGAGACUACCAUGCAAGUUGACCCUGGUAAUUACCGGGAUAUGUAUUGCUAAACUUCCCUCUUUUUUUUAUUUAUUUAUUUUUUUACGUCUCCGUCUAUUGAACCGGUAGGCUUGCUUUGAGGGGCCUGGAUGGUGUUCGGCCCCACCCCGUCAUGGCGCAGACAAGUGUUUAUAGUAUCGCCAUCUUCUCUUAUGCCUUCUAUAUCCCUCUCUCUGGGCUUUCAUAUCCAGUUUCCUUUCUGGUCGAUCAAUCUGUGCUGUGGUAGACGGUCACUGUUCUUCCAUUAAGGCCUAAACUUUGUUCUAUCCCUAACUGAAGGUAAAUCAUCUAUAACAUACCUGUUGGGCGCAGUUUGGAGGUGGAGUGGGCACAGCUGAUGAGACACAAUGAACACAACACAAAACAUCAGUAUUUACAUUCUAACUCAUUUUUCUGUUCACUGACCUCAACAUGUGUUUUUAUUUCUGUACAAUGGCGAUUCUUAUUUUUCGUAACGAGCCUAGUCACGGGUUUGUCUGCAAGACCCUCUAUGGUAUUUUACGAUGAUAAAUAUUUCAAUUCAAUUUCAACACUGGUACGGUCUCCUGCACUCCGCUUCAGCCUGGUGACGUCACGAGCUAAUGGCGGCUUAUCCCCGUGAGAUAGGAAGAAUUUGCGAUAUCUCUCCAAUAUCCAGUCAACUAGCGAUUUAUAGGACGUAAGAUGUGCGCUACGUUAUCAUUGGUACAGUUGCGGAGAUGUGUUCCUGUACCCUCUGUGACAAGGCUUCCCUCCAACCCUCCCAGUCGUACUACCCAAGUGCUGUGAGUGAAUGGUGGUCGUUGUGUUCGGCGGAGAGGUUCACUGCUAUUCAGGACCCGGAUUCAUCAACCCAGUACAAGACCGGUCGUUGGUAAGUCUUUUGGUAAAUCCGUCCUCUGUAAAUGAUCCUUGUCUUCAGGCCGCUCCGAUAACAAUGAAGUAUGGCCUGGUCGAUAGUUCUUUCAUCGCCAUUGGGGUCGCCUUAAGAUCAAGAGCGUUCCUAGACGAUGGAGUUAGCACAAGACGUAAGGUACUGGCCUGGUCGACAGUUCCUUCAUCGUCAUUGGGGUCGCCUUAAGAUCAAGAGCGUUCCUAGAUGAUGGAGUUAGCACAAGACGUAAGGUACUGGCCUGGUCGACACUUCCUUCAUCGUCAUUGGGGUCGCCUUAAGAUCAAGAGCGUUCCUAGAUGAUGGAGUUACCACAAGACUCAAGGUACUGGCCUGGUCGACAGUUCCUUCAUUGCCAUUGGGGUCGCCUUAAGAUCAAGAGCGUUCCUAGAUGAUGGAGUUACCACAAGACUCAAGGUACUGGCCU